rnacentral:sRNA from 1 species
AUUUAAUAAAAGUUUUGGCUGCCGCAAGGAUUCGUAUGUCCCCGCGUGUUUUCUUGCUGGCGAGGUCGCACGUGGGACGGGGUGGAUGAUUCUGGUUAUUUUAUGAAUUAUAGGUAUGUUGUCAUUUUAAGAAAUACUUUACAAAUGUUGUAGCUUUGGACAGGGAGGAAACUAGAGAGCUCAGAUUCAGGGAUUUCUACCUUUCCUUUCCUGUUCUCUAUCCUUCCUUCUUAGGCAAAGAAGAGGGGGGUGGAAGAAAAAAGGGGAUAUAGUAAUAUCAAAGAAAUUAGAGGAAUAAACAAAUAGGGAUAGGUUAACAAAUUUACUAUUAAACAAAACAUUACAUAGCCAUACCUUACAUUGGUAGAAAUCUUUAUAAUUGAUGCAAAGUUAAAGUUAUAAUGUUUUACAUUGGUAAGAAUUUAUUUUAUACAGAUUGGUAUGGAUUUCUUAUAUUGAUACAAAAAUUGAGAUUAAUAUUGUUACUCUUAGAUAGGCACUGUGCCUAUGCACCUCAUUUGAGAAUACAAAGCUUAGACCCAGUCCUUCUAUAACUGCUAUUACAAACUGUUCUUAGAUGAUUAAGCAAAAUGAGUUAAGGGCCAGAUAGCAAACUCAUGGUUCUUAGUUAACUACAAAAGGGUGUUUUUGAGAUAUUUCAAUUAGUAAUGGCUGAGAAUAGUCAAUGAUUAACAGUUCAGAACUGCUUUGCAUAGAUAGAUAGUCUUCAAAGGCAUCAAAAGUCCACAGAAUACAACAUUUAUGGCUGUUUUAUUUAUUAAAGAUCAGUUGAUUAAAGACAUGUCUAUGCCUGAAAGCAUCCCUUUCUUAGAUUCAAAGAAGAAAUUAAACAUCAAUGGAGUUCCUCCAGUUGUGGCGAGACAGUCACUAGGCAAGAAUUGCCUCAAUUCAUCUACAGACAAAAAUACUGUCCAGAAAAGGACACACAAUGCGGAAUAGUCGACUGACAGCUCUGCCAAGGCAGGGUAAUCAGUCCUUCAAAAUUCUACAUCGCAAAGGUCUGUCAGACAAUCCUGGGCCAGAAGGUUGAAGAUUGAUGCUCCACCAUUUUGAGGAAUGAGAGACUGUCCAGGAAGUCAACUGUCUGUACAAAUUGGUUAAGUUUUGGAAAUUAUGUUUUAUGUGUCUUUAUUUUCAGGUAAUGUUUAAGUAGUUCUCAGAUUCCUGACCAGGUCAAAGACUGGUUGUAGUCUUAUAGAUAACCCAAGUUGUUUAGCAAUGAGAAAGAUGAUAUAGAUUUGAGCGGAUGGUUUUCAGAUGAUAUACAAGCUAAAACCAGGACGUAAUUUAGGUGUAGAGUUGUAAGCCUUUUAAGUUCGUAUAGAUGGUAGAGUGCUUUAUCUAAGUUGACAAAAUUGAUAGACGGGGUGUAUCUUAUACCUUACAAAUUACAUAAUUGUAGUAAUUGUACUCAAUUUAUAUCUGAGAGAAAAAAGCCUUUUAAUUGGACAAAAAAGGGGAAAUGUUGUAGAUUGCCCUGGUGCUGUUUGUAUUUUGAUGCUAAUUCUGCUUCCUCAAGAGGGGCUGCCCUGAUGAAGAGUGGAUCAUGUACUCAGGCUUAUUGGGGUUGGAGCUUGACCACAAUACCAUCAUAACUGUAAAUCAAGCUACAGUGUCACUAAAAGACAGAAAUCUUCAGCUGCCUUGUGUUGUGGGACCACCACUGUAUAAGCAAUCUGUCAUUAACCAAGGUGAUGUUACAAGGCCACUCAGGAACUUGGUGCGGGAAACCCGACCUUGAUACACAUGGCCUGAUCUCAGCAGUUUUCUGGAGCCUUGACAUAAACCUCUGAUCGAGACAGCCACCGAGAGCUAAGAAGACAAUCCUCUCUGAUACCUCAUUGUCCAGCUGUGCAUUAUUUCAUUACUAACUUGUAGGGAUUUUAUAGGUAUUUUUCAUUUUCCACACACUCCCAGCUGGCUCCCUUAAACUUGACUCUCUUCAUGCUUAUAAUUUAUAAGCGUGAAGGUAAAUAUGGUUUUUCAAACUAUGGAAAGGGAGAAAACAAUGAGCCAAAGAGAGGCUAGAAGGGGUCUUGUGGUGCCAAGAAGUACUAGUCUGCACUUUUACAUGUGAGUGUGGAGAAGAAUGGUCUCCAUGCUGGCAGACCGGUUUGCCGUUACUUUAAAGAUCCUCCCCGAGUUAAUAAUGAUGUUCAGUCUCUCACUGCUUCUGGGAUGCUCAUUCCCAGAAUGGCGGCGGCUUUUAGAAUACAGUCAUGAAUUGCUUGGUACUUUCUCCCAUGGCUAGUGGAGAAGUCUGUGUGCUCUCCCCUGGAACCUGGAGAGUCUGUGACUGACUGCCUCAGUCAGCGCAGUAAACCGCCAUGUACAGCGGCCUUUUUCUCUCGGGCCACCUGUGCUUAGAACUUAGUCACCGUGCUGCAUAGAAGCCCAGGGCGCCACAGAGAGAGGUCAUGUGAUGUUACGGCAGCCAAGACCAACGCCGAGACCAACAUCCCAGGCUAAGUUCACAGCCAAUUUACUAAGUUACUAAGUUACGGGUUACCAUUACUGCAUUAACAUUAACUGACCCUGUGUGCAAAAGACCCCUUAUAUAUUUCCAACUUUCAGAACUUCGUCAUCCCCGAGUCUUUGAGCGCUCCCAGCUGGGGCCACAAAUUGUAUGGAGCCAAGACAAACCAUCCCCGCAGUUCUUCUCUGAAUCCCUAACCCGCCCAGUCUGUGAGCAUAAUUAAAUGGCUGUUUUAGGCAA